GACGAACGCUGGCGGCGUGCUUAACACAUGCAAGUCGAACGGAAAGGCCCUGCUUUUGUGGGGUGCUCGAGUGGCGAACGGGUGAGUAACACGUGAGUAACCUGCCCUUGACUUUGGGAUAACUUCAGGAAACUGGGGCUCAUACCGGAUAGGAGCUCCUGCUGCAUGGUGGGGGUUGGAAAGUUUCGGCGGUUGGGGAUGGACUCGCGGCUUAUCAGCUUGUUGGUGGGGUAGUGGCUUACCAAGGCUUUGACGGGUAGCCGGCCUGAGAGGGUGACCGGCCACAAUGGGACUGAGAUACGGCCCAGAAUCCUACGGGAGGCAGCAGUGGGGAAUAUUGCACAAUGGGCGGAAGCCUGAUGCAGCAACGCCGCGUGCGGGAUGACGGCCUUCGGGUUGUAAACCGCUUUCGCCUGUGACGAAGCGUGAGUGACGGUAAUGGGUAAAGAAGCACCGGCUAACUACGUG
rnacentral:rRNA from 1 species